GACGAACGCUGGCGGCGUGCUUAACACAUGCAAGUCGAACGGAAAGGCCCUGCUUUUGUGGGGUGCUCGAGUGGCGAACGGGUGAGUAACACGUGAGUCACCUGCCCUUGACUUUGGGAUAACUUCAGGAAACUGGGGCUAAUACCGGAUAGGAGCUCCUGCUGCAUGGUGGGGGUUGGAAAGUUUCGGCGGUUGGGGAUGGACUCGCGGCUUAUCAGCUUGUUGGUGGGGUAGUGGCUUACCAAGGCUUUGACGGGUAGCCGGCCUGAGAGGGUGACCGGCCACCUUGGGACUGCGAUAGGGCCCAGACUGCUACGUGAGGCAGCAGUGGGGAAUAUUGCACAAUGGGCGGAAGCCUGAUGCAGCAACGCCGCGUGCGUGAUGACGGCCUUCGGGUUGUAAACCGCUUUCGCCUGUGACGAAGCGGGAGUGACGGUAAUGGGUAAAGAAGCACCGGCUAACUACGUG
rnacentral:rRNA from 1 species